ACGGAGGUGUGAUUAGCUGAUUAUCUCUAAACAUAGUUGAGUUGCCAUUAGAUUUAAGGUUAAUCAGCAGUGUAGACUGAAGUGUAAUGUGGAAUUGUGGGAGGAAGUUUUAAACAAGGUCUUGUCUAGCUACUAGAGUGGGCUGAUUUCAGAAGUAAAGGAGUAAAUAAUAAAUGGUGCAGAACUUUGCUUCUGUGGCAAGGGAACAGUGGAGCUGAAGAUGAAAGCUAUGCAGCUGCAUGGACUGAGAAGGAAUGAUAGGUCACAGACUGAGAGUGGGUUGAAUUAGGAGGGCUAUGCAGUCAAGACUCUGGGCAUCUUAAAAGCGGAAUUAAAGCUGUCACCGUUUUAACAUUAUUUUUACCUUUUAAAUCACAGAAACAUAGCAUGGUACUUUAUCUACCCUCCUCCUCCCUGCCCUUGAUUUCUGGUAGUAAUGGGAGAAGAGAAAGGUGGGAUCUGAAUUUCUGGAUCAUCACGGUGCCAUGUCUCCAGCUUCCUCCUUGUAUAUCUUGUUUUUCCACAAGAUGCCGACAAAUCUUGUCAAUCUGCAGGAAAAUACACAUUCAUCUAGGCAGCUUUUAAUCCUCAGCGGCAAUCUUAAUUGCCCCAGUGGCAGUUUUGAGGUAAUUGAAGAUGCUCUUAUCAAGUAAAUUAACUUGAUAGUGCCUAUAACUACUUAUUUGAUAUUCCUCCUAUUUUAUCUCACUUAAAGAAUCCUCUUUCAGUAUAGAACCAGUAUCUGGACCCUUGUAAAAGCUGAUUACCACUUUACCAAUAUUAAGGUGCUUUUCAGUUAAUAAAUUAAUAAAUAAUAAUAAUAAUAAUAAUAAA
rnacentral:lncRNA from 1 species